CGCUUCAGGAGCUUAAGGAGAUUGAGUUUCUAGUAGUGCUUGAGAUUCCACCUCUAUUGUUCUACUCUUUCAUUCUCCUAACAACAUCAGCAGGUCAACUGAAACUGGUUUGUGAACUUUUGGCCAACAUGGAAGGAGCAGUCGGUCCUUCAGCAAAUGGAAGGAGCAGGAAGUGAGCGUCUUUGGCUGAAGCAGCGCGGCGCGGCAACACAAUGGCAUCUCUUGUUCACAGCUGCAUACUGAAUGACCACAACGAGAAUCAACAGGUUUCACCACAAAGUACAAUUCCUCUCAGAGCUCUUCACCCUACCUGUCUGCCUCUAAAAAGUCCUCUGAUUUGCGUCUUACCAGGCAUGUUUAGAUGUUGCUACUCUCUCUAAUACUGCCUGGUAAUGCCGCCAGUCACAAGGAAGUUGAUCAUCAUUCUGACCUCCUUGUUGCUCUCAAUGAAUAUUGGAUUUUUUUUAUCCAUGUUAUAAUUAUAUCUCUUGACCUGCCUAUCCAUAUCUAGAGAAUUAUGUCAUGUUUUUGUCUGCAAAAGCAGUCCUCAUUAUGUCAUUAUUAAACGAUGAUGGUAACAAAUGUUGAUGUAUGUAUGUAUGUAUUUAAAUACAAAUCUUAAUGUCUAUGUUUACAAUAAAAUGUAUUUUUAUCUAAA